ensembl:lncRNA novel transcript, sense intronic to BCL2
CCAGUCAUGUUACAGAUGCCCAGUAAUUUCUGCUGGGUUAGAUGUUAGUCAGUUGCAGGGUAGAUUGGUGUUAGGGGAGGUAGCCCGGCCAUAGGCAAAAAAGUAGCUUAGGGUCACCGCAGUCAGUGUGGAGAAGGGAAUUUUGGGGGGAAAUCUGGACAGACGAAUUUGACCAAUCUAUGAGGCUAAUUAUAGAAAAAAACACAA